AGAUUCCGGAGAGGGAGCCUGAGAAACGGCUACCACAUCUAAGGAUGGCAGCAGGCGCGCAAAUUACCCAAUCCUGACACAGGGAGGUAGUGACAAGAAAUGACAACACGGGCUUUACAGUUUUGUGAUUGGAAUGAGUAGAAAUUAAGCCUCUUUACAAGUAUCAAUUGGAGGGCAAGUCUGGUGCCAGCAGCCGCGGCAAUUCCAGCUCCAAUAGCGUAUAUUAAAGUUGUUGCAGUUAAAAAGCUCGUAGUUGAAUUGCUGCAAAAUGCGGCAUCUUGCGGCUCUAGGGUUGUCUUGGUGUUUGCUUCUGCUUUCUGGCGGCUGCCUCUUGAUGCUUUAUUGUAUCAGGGGUUGUCGCUGCCGUUUUUACUUUGAGAAAAUUAGAGUGUUUCAAGCAGGCUGUUGCCU
rnacentral:rRNA from 1 species